GACGAACGCUGGCGGCGUGCCUAAUACAUGCAAGUCGAGCGGACGGAUGGGAGCUUGCUCCCAGACCGUCAGCGGCGGACGGGUGAGUAACACGUGGGCAACCUGCCUGUAAGACUGGGAUAACUCCGGGAAACCGGGGCUAAUACCGGAUAACUCUUUCCCUCACAUGAGGGAAAGCUGAAAGAUGGCAUCUCGCUAUCACUUACAGAUGGGCCCGCGGCGCAUUAGCUAGUUGGUGAGGUAACGGCUCACCAAGGCGACGAUGCGUAGCCGACCUGAGAGGGUGAUCGGCCACACUGGGACUGAGACACGGCCCAGACUCCUACGGGAGGCAGCAGUAGGGAAUCUUCCGCAAUGGACCAAAGUCUGACGGAGCAACGCCGCGUGAGUGAUGAAGGUUUUCGGAUCGUAAAACUCUGUUGUCAGGGAAGAACAAGUACCGGAGUAACUGCCGGUACCUUGACGGUACCUGACCAGAAAGCCACGGCUAACUACGUG
rnacentral:rRNA from 1 species